rnacentral:lncRNA from 1 species
CAAUAGGGAAAUCUAUAAUUAAUCUAUAAUAUUACAUAAACAACAUACCUGUGGUAUCUUCUGUCUGUGUUAAUAUUCCUUCAAUGCUAUUCAGUUUUUGUUUCACUUCACUCAUUUCAUAUUUCACUUCAGUCAUUUCAUGUUUAACCUCAUUUUCAAGAAACAGAUGGAAGUCAUUUCUCAGAUGAUUGAUUUCUUCAUUAAGUUUUUCUACUUCCUUUGUAGGGAAAUCCAAUUCUUUCAAGUUGCCAAUCCUCUCCAGAGAUGUCGUGCUAAAAUUCAAAGCAGCGAACGCGUCUUUGACCUGCUUGACAUAGUCAUCAAACGUGACUUUAUUAAUUCGAGGGCUGGACGUAUGACAAAGAAUGUUUCGUAAAAGACGAAGCUGAUCAAUGGCAAGUGCAAUCGUUUCAUUUGCAUCUCCGCUGGAGCUCCUCAAGGCAGAGUGGAAUGGAGCAGGGACUGGCUUGCGUCCUUUUAAAUAUAUUUCUCCAAGCGUCUUUUUCUUCCCUGUGCUGUCUGGUAGCGCAAAUGUUCUUGCAUACAGAGUGGCUUGAAAUAGUGCAGUGCAGUCCCACUCUUUAAAUGAGUUGUUCGUGGGGAUCUUUGUGUUUGGAGCCUCAUUGUUGUGGAGUAUAUUGCGUACAAAAAGCGAGUCAUCCCAAACUGUAGAACUUGGUGCAACUCUGGUGUCCCACAUGUCUACAAAGAUGCUACGCAAAGCAUCUGGGAAUUCCUUUAGGACAAUUGACGCAAACUUGAAGUAGUUCAGCUCUUCAUCAGAAUACGGCUGCAAAGACAUGUUGGCUGACUUUAUGAGCAUAAAUGACACGGGAAAAAAAGGACCUGAAAAACUGAUACAAAGAAAAACAUCGAUAAGGCACAUGUUCAGAGCAAACAGAUCUGACUUGUAAA